rnacentral:misc_RNA from 1 species
AGAAUUUAAGCAUCCGGCCACAACAAUACAUAAUUAUAGAUAAGGAUCAUUUAACCUUUAAAGAGUUAAUUUCCUUGCAAUGGCAGGCUGUCAUCUUAUUGCAAAGACGUUCGCUUUCUUUCCUUUCUUGUCAUUCCGCCAUUUUUUAUUCUUUUUCAUUUCUUUCCCUUAGAAGUCCUUUUCCUGUCUCCCUGCAAAUUUUUUUCCCCAGAAAAUGCAGCAAGCAAGCACAAACUAUAG